rnacentral:lncRNA from 1 species
UAUCAACGGCUUUUGAACCAGAAGCCCUUGUCCUUGAAGCUGCAAGAAGAGGGGAUGGAGCGCCAGCUGGUGGCCCUCCUGGAGGAGCUGUCGGCUGAGCACUACCUGCCCAUCUUUGCGCACCACCACCCGAGCCUGGGAGCCAGCGUCCCAGCCUAAUCACGGAUCUGCUGCCUCCCAGCUGUCUUGACUGAAGGCCACCGCCCCUGCAGGAGCUUGGGUCCUCAUCUGGGGGCCAUGCACAGGCCCGUCCCACCCUGCAUGUGGGAAGGGAGCAGGAGGGCCUGGCUGGGUGAGGGGAGGCCUUCCUGGGAAGGCGUGUGGUGCAGGCCUGUGCUCACAGUGGCACCAGCAACCCUGGGUCUCCCUCUCUGCUGCUCCCCAGAACCCCGGGGCCCUCCUGCUCUCCACAACUGUCCCUCCUUACCCCAUGUAGCUCGAUCCGAAGCAGGAGUGUCAAUAAACCUGUCUUCAGUG